UGGGGAAUCUUGCGCAAUGGGCGAAAGCCUGACGCAGCAACGCCGCGUGGGGGAUGAAGGCCCUCGGGUUGUAAACCCCUUUCAGCAGGAACGAAAUUGACGGUACCUGCAGAAGAAGGCCCGGCCAACUACGUGCCAGCAGCCGCGGUAACACGUAGGGGCCAAGCGUUGUCCGGAUUUAUUGGGCGUAAAGAGCUCGUAGGCGGUUGGGUAAGUCGGGUGUGAAAACUCCAGGCUCAACUUGGAGACGCCACCCGAUACUGCUCUGACUUGAGUUCGGUAGGGGAGUGGGGAAUUCCUGGUGUAGCGGUGAAAUGCGCAGAUAUCAGGAGGAACACCGGUGGCGAAGGCGCCACUCUGGGCCGAAACUGACGCUGAGGAGCGAAAGCGUGGGUAGCAAACAGGAUUAGAUACCCCCGUAGUCC
rnacentral:rRNA from 1 species